GAAGCCCACACACUCCCCUCACGCCAGCCACGAGAUCUUCAAUUUAAGCUGCUCCUCGCCACUUGCCCAUCAACCAGCAUCUCUCGGUCAACACCUGCAAGAACGAAGCCGUUGGUUGACCGCUUGAAGCCCACGACUCCACCGAGUUCCUUCACGUUGCCACCUGCCCGCUCCUCCUUCUGCUUCGGUCAUCAAACGAAACCGCCGAAGCCCAAGUCCAACGUCUUCAGCCCGAGCAUAUCGUGGAGUCCACGAAGACAGCGUCCAUGAGCAGCUCCCAUCUUUAGUCUUCCCCUGUGGCGUGCCCUCAGCUCCACGCCAGCACGCCAGUCAACUCCAACGCCCACGGAAGACCACCGAUUCAACCAAGUCUUCAUCUGCGAAAUCCUCCGAGCAUCCUCACGCCGCCAGCAACAUCCACCGAGCAACACCACCGAAGAGAAGCCGCACGUAUCCACCGAAUUCUGCCGUUUGUCCGUGCUUCCCUCCACGCGUCCGAGCCCCAACUCAUUCGGUCCAUCAUCUCGCCGUGAAGCCUCGAGAUCCACCGAGUUGCCAACCGUUGCCAGCGUCUUCGGUCUCCUCAGUCAGCGAAUCCAGCUGCCCGAAGCCCAACAAAUCCUGCAGUUUCAGUCUUCUUUUGUUCGUGGGCCAACCACAGCGAGCACAUUCCAUUUUUCAGUGGCCCAACCUCAGCUCUUUGGAAGCCUGUGAUCAAGCAGCCCACAAGCCCAGUUCAGUUCAAUGACAACCCAGACCAGCAAGUUUUAGUUUCAGCUUUGGGCCGCAGUUCAAGCCCAAUCAAUUUCUCACCAUCAGCAGCCCAUCAGCAGAGUUUUGUGAGGCCCAAUUCCAG
rnacentral:lncRNA from 1 species